rnacentral:rRNA from 1 species
UACUCGAGUGGCGAACGGGUGAGUAACACGUGGGUGAUCUGCCCUGCACUUCGGGAUAAGCUUGGGAAACUGGGUCUAAUACCGGAUAGGAGCCAUCUUUAGUGUGGUGGUUGGAAAGUUUUUUCGGUGUAGGAUGAGCUCGCAGCCUAUCAGCUUGUUGGUGGGGUAAUGGCCUACCAAGGCGGCGACGGGUAGCCGGCCUGAGAGGGUGGACGGCCACAUUGGGACUGAGAUACGGCCCAG